UCCUGGCUCAGGAUGAACGCUGGCGGCGUGCCUAAUACAUGCAAGUCGAGCGAUGAGGCUCCUUCGGGAGUACAUCAGCGGCGAACGGGUGAGUAACACGUGGGUGACUUGCCCCGAAGAUGGGGAUAACCUCUGGAAACGGGGGCUAAUACCCAAUGUGCUCGGUGAUUCGGUUCAUCGAGUAAAGCUCCGGCGCUUCGGGAGAGGCCUGCGGCCCAUCAGCUAGUUGGUAGGGUAACGGCCUACCAAGGCAGAGACGGGUAGGGGGCGUGAGAGCGCGGACCCCCACACUGGCACUGAGAUACGGGCCAGACUCCUACGGGAGGCAGCAGUAAGGGAUAUUGCGCAAUGGACGAAAGUCAGACGCAGCGACGCCGCGUGGGCGAUGAAGGCCUUCGGGUUGUAAAGCCCUUUUAUGGGGGAAGAGAAAAAGGACGGUACCCCAGGAAUAAGUCCCGGCUAACUACGUGCCAGCAGCCGCGGUAAAACGUAGGGGACAAGCGUUAUCCGGAUUCACUGGGCGUAAAGAGCGUUGAGGCGGUUCCGUAAGUUGGGCGUGAAAGCUCCGGGCUUAACUCGGAGAUGUCGUUCAAUACUGCGGGGCUUGAGGACAGCAGAGGAAGGUGGAAUUCCCGGUGUAGUGGUGAAAUGCGUAGAUAUCGGGAGGAACACCCGUGGCGAAGGCGGCCUUCUGGGCUGUUCCUGACGCUGAAGGCGAAAGCUAGGGGAGCGAACGGGAUUAGAUACCCCGGUAGUCCUAGCUGUAAACGAUGGAUGCUGGGUGUGGGGGGUGUAAAUUCCCUCUGUGCCGAAGCAAACGCGUUAAGCAUCCCGCCUGGGGACUACGGCCG
rnacentral:rRNA from 1 species